rnacentral:tRNA from 1 species
UCCCUGGUUGUCCAGUGGCUAAAACUCUAUGCUCUCAAUGCAGGGGCUCAGGUUCAAUCCCUGACCAGGGAA